GCUAAUAAGUUAAAUGUUUAUUUUUAUGGCAAUCAUUUCCAUUAUAAACAAUGGUUCAUUAAAAAAAAAAAAAAAAGGAAAAAAAGGCAGCAAAACAAAGCAGUAGUCUGUAAAAUAAAACCUGUGCAGAUGCAGAGAAAUACAGUCUUCGGGGUCGAGUCACAGUAACCUUGACCUCUGGGUAUGUGUCGCUUAUAUAUUUAGAAUUAGUGUGGUGUCUGUAGGAGAUUAAUUUAUACAAAGUCGAACUGGAAGUAAAAGCCUCCCGAAAAGAGAUGUAUACUGUGCAGGGACUGUCUAUCAUCCUGUGCUCUGAGACUGGUUCUAACGAGGGGCCAUAUUAGUAUGCAGGCACUUGUGUUCUAUUCCUUUCCCAGUUUUUGUUCUUGGAAUGAGGUAUCCCCUUGAAACUCACUAAACCUCCUAUUUCUGCAGCUGACACUCCACUCAGGCAUGAAUAAUCUAAGGGGUAAACAGAAAGUUGAUAUAAAUAUGCAAACACUUCCGAUGAAACAUAAUAGGUAGCUAAAAAACUGGAAGUGACUCAUUGGCACACCAAAGAACACGUUACCCCUUUUAUUCAUGCUAACAUUAAGGCUGAUACAUUCUAACCUGAGUUUUAAAUUCUUGCUGAAACGCAUGUUAGAAUUCUUUAAAAUUGUCAAGUGCUCAUGUAGAUAUAAGCUGAUAGUAGCAGUACGAAUAUUGAAAGCAUAGGGAUAAGAACAUUCAAACAAAUAAUUGUAUAUUCAUUUUCCUUGACCAUCUUUAAAAUAGUGUCUGACGUGCAAGGCAACAAUGUGGGGAAGCCAUCACUGUUUCUUACAUUGUUUGGGAAUAUUUACUUACCACUCUGAAAAAAUAAGUGGGGAUUCACAAAUCAGGCAAACUCGGAAAACAGACCAUCCAUUUUGAGCACAUAAUUGUAGAAUAUAUUUCAGGUAAACAAACUGAAGCGAACAAAAAUAAAUCCUUGUCACAUGACUACUGAUAGAACAAUGAACAUUCAUCAGAAUGGCCCAAAUUAAUGUCUGAUGCCGCCCACAGGGAAGUAGAGUUCAUACUUUAUUAGCGAUAGUGUCCAUUUGAAAAUCCCAUUAGGAGAAUAAUUUUGCACCAGUCAGUGGAUACGAAAACAUGCAUCGUCUGUACCCCAGUCCCUGCACUUCUAGCUGCUAUCACUGAGAAGUCUGUGCUCAUGUGCACAGGAGGGCCAGCUGCAACUCUGUUUGUAUUGGCGAAAACUGGAUUCAGUGUGGUUAUUGAUAAGACAGACAUAAAUUAUUAGAACUAUAUCUUACAUCACCCCUAAAAUCUUGGGAAAAUAAAAUAAAAAAAAUUAUAAAAAAAAGAAUAUAUAGGAUUGGAAAAAAUGUAAUUGUAAUGUAUACAUGUAAGGAUAACCUGACCCCCUUGCUGUACAGUGGGAAAAUAAAAUAAAAAAAAUUAUAAAAAAAAGAAUAUAUAGGAUUUUUUCCCCCCACUGGGAGUAGGAGAGAAAAAAGGGACAAAAACAUUAUACCAGAAACCAUGUAUGAAAACUUAUUGAAAUAUAUACUAUACGAAAAUUACAAAAGAGACACUGAGAACUAGAAAGACAUCUUAAAUUUAAAAAAAAAGGUUCUUUAAAUGAAUAUAAUAGAGUACUGUUUUUCAGAAUAGAUAGAAGAAUUGUUAGGCAUCAAUAAAAAUAAAAAACAAAACUAACCCAGAAGAUACUAGAGGAUGUGAGCAGGUGAUUCAGAGAAAAUUUGAUAAAAAUUACAUUAAAAAUGCUAAACCUCAUUAGUAAUCAUGGAGAUAAAAUUUUAAAUAAUGUUUCGAUGCAAUUCCACACCCAAUCGAUUAGAAAAACUGAAAUAGGCUGACAAUAGAAAUGUAAUAUAAACGGAGUCGUUGAUUCUCCUAAGACAUUGGUGUGAAUGUCAACUAGCACAACAAUGUGAGACAGCAACUUGUCAAUAUUAGCAAAUUUGAGGAUGUGCACACACCUUCGUGGAGCCUCCACAUCUAGGCAUAUGCCUCAAUGAAAAUCUAGCAGCUAAAGGAGCAAAAUAGUUAUAAGAGCAUUUACAAACUAAAAUCAUUCGGGUGGUUUUUUGGGGUUUUUUGUGUUUUGUUUUUGUUCGAUCAUAUUGUUGCUGCAUAGCCAGAUCCCUAACCCACUUUUCAAGCCAGGAAUCGAACCUGCAUCCCAAGGCUCCAGAGAUGCCGUGGGUCUCAUUGCACCACAUCUCACUGCACCAUAACUGUGAUUUUAUGCUGUAUUUUUAUUAGUUUAUUUUUAUGAUUUUUCUUGAUACAUUUAGCUUAUUUUGAAAUAGAUACGGUUUUGAUAUUUAUCUCUUGUCUAUCAAUUGAUCUACGUACCUAUCUAUCAUGUCUUUGCUGGGGUCUUUGGAUUGUAUGUAUGUUUUUAUGUUCCUUAUUUUCUUUUUACGUAUGGGAUUCAAAUUUAUUAGUUCUCCAUCUCAUUUUUGUGUGAAAUUAGUUUUCCUGAAAUUUUCUCUUCCUUUAUAGCUGCAUCCGUGGCAUAUGGAGGUUCCUGGGUCAGGGGCAGAAUCUGAUCUGCACCUGUGACCUAUGCCGCAGCUGCAGCAAUACUGGUUCCUUAACCCACUGUGCCACAGCAGGAACUCCCAGUUUUCCUGAACUUUUGAAUAAGCUUUGAUUUAGGUUGGUUCUCUAAUUCCAUAGAGACCUCUCUUCUGUUGUUUGCUCUAGUAACUUUAACCUGGACACCUCCUUUCCUUCCUCUCUGUUACCUAAACCUGGAUUGAAGUCCACUCCCAAGAGUUAGUGGUUGGGGCCUUGACUUGGAGGUUGGCUUGGGCAGGUCAAUUUCAAGCCUUAUUAGGGCUAGACGGUCCCCACUUUUCCAUACUUCCUUCCUGUAAGCCCUUGCAUUUACCUAUAUUUGGGGAUGCCAAAAUUCUUCCCAGGGUCAGUUCUGGUUGUUAUUGUCUCGCAAUGUUUUCUAGAAGACAUGUAUUGGCCGUUUGAGUGUUCGCCUCUUUCACACAUCUGUGGCUCAACUGCUUUCUUCUACUUCCUCCUCCCCUGGCAGCCUCUUCCUCCAUGAGCACACACGCACACACACACAUGCACACACAUACACGUUCAUCCAUUAUUUUACUUUUCUUUGCAGCUCUUUACUUAGACUGCAUUCGCUCUCUCCUAGAGCCCUUGCUCUGGAAGAAGCAAACUGCCCUGCUGUUUGCUGCCCUAUGGAGAGGCCCUGCUGGCAAGUAAAGGAAGGCCUCCAGCCAAAAGUCUCUAAGGAGCUGAAUCUGGACAAAAGCCAGGUAAGUAACUUUGAAAGCAGAUCUUUCCCCAGUCAAGCAUUCAGAUGAGGACACAGACCUGGCCAAUCUCUGAUUACAGUCUUGUGAGACUCACUGAGGCAGGAGAAUCUACAUAAGCUCUGUCUGUAUUCUGGAUGCACAGAAAAUGUGAGAUAAUAAGUAUUUCUUGAUAAUAAGUAUUUCUGCUAAUUUAUCAUGUUGAAAUAAAUAACUGAUAUAAUUCAUAUGUGCAAUGUACUCUGUAUUAUGUAUUGCUGCAUAUUUUUUUGCUGCAUUAUUUGUAAUUGCUAAAAAUAGAGACAAUCUAAAUACAUCAAUAGAACAGUAGUUAAAUAACUGGAGGUUCCUUUAUAAACUAAAACAUGAUGCUACACUCAGAAAGGAUAAGGGUGCUCUUUAUGCACUGAUAUGAAAAGAUAAUCAAUAUAUUAUUAAGAAGCAAUGUACAAAAUAAUGCAUAGCAUGAUAACAUGUAUUUAUGCCUAUAAAACACUUCUCAAAAGAUACAUAAAAACUUAGUAACCAUGGGUACCUAUUUUAGGGGACUGAGGUGGGUGGAAACUGAGUAGCUAUAGGUACAGAGGUGGGAGGGAGAUUUUCAACUCUAUAGGUUUUUAUGAUUAUUGACUUUGGAGCCAUGUGAAUGAAUUAGCUGUUCCAGAAAUCAAUUAACUCUUUAAAUGCUUAAAGAAAAAAAAUAAGUAAAACAUUUAACAGAAAUGCACUUCCCUUUUUUAAAAACCAAAACAUAAACUUAAAAAAAAAAGUUGCAUCCCAUGCAAUAUAUGUAUAAGUUUUUGCAGGAGGAAAAUAAAUAAUACAUAAUUUAUUGAUACUUUCUUAUGUAAUAAUAACUUUAAAAUAUGCAUGGUAAUAAUAAAUUCCAAAUUUAGGCUAACAGUUAUUUCUGGAAAGAGAUAGAUCUGAUUAAGAUUGGGGAGGAGGAAGCCAGGUGAUUUCAACUGUAUUUUUCACUUUUUUGUUUCAAUAUCUUUUUUUCUUUCUU
rnacentral:lncRNA from 1 species